rnacentral:rRNA from 1 species
AAACUAACAAGGAUUCCCCUAGUAACGGCGAGUGAACCGGGAUGAGCUCAAAUUUGUAAUCUGGCUCCCUUUGGGUGUCCGAGUUGUAAUCUAUAGAGGCGUUUUCCGCGCCGGACCGCGUCCAAGUCCCUUGGAACAGGGUAUCAAAGAGGGUGACAAUCCCGUACUUGACGCGACGACCGGUGCUAUGUGAUACGCUCUCAACGAGUCGAGUUGUUUGGGAAUGCAGCUCUAAAUGGGUGGUAAAUUCCAUCUAAGGCUAAAUAUUGGCGAGAGACCGAUAGCGAACAAGUACCGUGAGGGAAAGAUGAAAAGCACUUUGGAAAGAGAGUUAAACAGUACGUGAAAUUGUUGAAAGGGAAACGAUUGAAGUCAGUCGUGUGGAAGGUAUUCAGCCGUCUCUGACGGUGUAUUUGCCUUUCACGGGUCAACAUCAGUUUGGACCGAUGGAAAAAGUCGGGAGGAAGGUGGCACCCACUUGUGGGUGUGUUAUAGCCUCUUGAUGCAUACGUCGGUCCAGACUGAGGAACGCAGCUCGCAGCAAUGCCGGGGUUCGCCCACGUCCGAGCUUAGGAUGUUGACAUAAUGGCUUUAAACGAC